GACGAACGCUGGCGGCGUGCUUAACACAUGCAAGUCGAACGGAAAGGCCCUGCUUUUGUGGGGUGCGCGAGUGGCGAACGGGUGAGCAACACGUGAGUAACCUGCCCUUGACUUUGGGAUAACUUCAGGAAACUGGGGCUAAUACCGGAUAGGAGCUCCUGCUGCAUGGUGGGGGUUGGAAAGUUUCGGCGGUUGGGGAUGGACUCGCGGCUUAUCAGCUUGUUGGUGGGGUAGUGGCUUACCAAGGCUUUGACGGGUAGCCGGCCUGAGAGGGUGACCGGCCACAUUGGGACUGAGAUACGGCCCAGACUCCUACGGGAGGCAGCAGUGGGGAAUAUUGCACAAUGGGCGGAAGCCUGAUGCAGCAACGCCGCGUGCGGGAUGACGGCCUUCGGGUUGUAAACCGCUUUCGCCUGUGACGAAGCGUGAGUGACGGUAAUGGGUAAAGAAGCACCGGCUAACUACGUG
rnacentral:rRNA from 1 species